rnacentral:rRNA from 1 species
GAUGAACGCUGGCGGCGUGCCUAAUACAUGCCAGUCGAGCGAACAGACGAGGAGCUUGCUCCUCUGACGUUAGCGGCGGACGGGUGAGUAACACGUGGAUAACCUACCUAUAAGACUGGGAUAACUUCGGGAAACCGGAGCUAAUACCGGAUAAUAUAUUGAACCGCAUGGUUCAAUAGUGAAAGACGGUUUUGCUGUCACUUAUAGAUGGAUCCGCGCCGCAUUAGCUAGUUGGUAAGGUAACGGCUUACCAAGGCAACGAUGCGUAGCCGACCUGAGAGGGUGGUCGGCCACACUGGAACUGAGACACGGUUCAGACUCCUACGGGAGGCAGCAGUAGGGAAUCUUCCGCAAUGGGCGAAAGCUUGACGGAGCAACGCCGCGUGAGUGAUGAAGGUCUUCGGAUCGUAAAACUCUGUUAUUAGGGAAGAACAAAUGUGUAAGUAACUAUGCACGUCUUGACGGUACCUAAUCAGAAAGCCACGGCUAACUACGUG